rnacentral:rRNA from 1 species
GCAGUCGAGCGGUAGAGAGAAGCUUGCUUCUCUUGAGAGCGGCGGACGGGUGAGUAAUGCCUAGGAAUCUGCCUGGUAGUGGGGGAUAACGUCCGGAAACGGACGCUAAUACCGCAUACGUCCUACGGGAGAAAGCAGGGGACCUUCGGGCCUUGCGCUAUCAGAUGAGCCUAGGUCGGAUUAGCUAGUUGGUGAGGUAAUGGCUCACCAAGGCGACGAUCCGUAACUGGUCUGAGAGGAUGAUCAGUCACACUGGAACUGAGACGCGGUCCAGACUCCUACGGGAGGCAGCAGUGGGGAAUAUUGGACAAUGGGCGAAAGCCUGAUCCAGCCAUGCCGCGUGUGUGAAGAAGGUCUUCGGAUUGUAAAGCACUUUAAGUUGGGAGGAAGGGCAUUAACCUAAUACGUUAGUGUUUUGACGUUACCGACAGAAUAAGCACCGGCUAACUCUGUGCCAGCAGCCGCGGUAAUAC